rnacentral:tRNA from 1 species
GCGUCCGUAGCUCAGUGGAGUAGAGCGCCGCCCUCCGAAGGCGGAGGUCGAAGGUUCGAUUCCUUCUGGACGCGCCA